AUCAUUUCUUUAUCCAUUCAUCAGUUGAUGGACACUUGGGCUCUUUUGAUAAUUUGGCUAUUGUAGAUAAUGCUGCCAUGAACACUGAGGUGCAUAUUUCCCAUUGAAUUAGUAUUUUUGUAUUCUUUGGGUAAAUACAUAGCUUUUUAAAAAAAUCUCAAAGUCACAUUUACUCUAAGACUGAAGUCCAAAUCUUUGGCAAGGAAGAUUUUUUUACCAUUUUUAGGUAGGGAUGCAAUUUUCAUGACAGAUUCGAUAUUGUACUCAAAUCGCUCUUUCCCCUCUAAUUCAGAGUACUGUUCUUUUUAUGAUCUUUUGAGUCUCUGGCAGUUUCCUUGAGAUGUAUGCUGUCCUAGGGGACCCCAGCAUCAUCUAUGCAAGUGGACACCUGGCAAGCCCAUUCCUACAGAACUCUGGAUGAGGUCAGACAUGCUUAAGACCCAAAGAGAACACUAAUAAAGCUCCAGGUGGGGGCUCUGGUCCUUCUGGUAUUUCAGGAGCUAAACACUCGAGAUAAAAUCAGAUGCAGGGAACACAAUGAGAUUCUGAGAAUGUAAAUUUCCUGAGCCAGAAUGGCAAAAAGGCCACCUGAAAGGAUGAAAUCACAUGAUUUGGAGUGAAGAGAGAAUCUAGAAAAUGGGAGAGCCUCAGCAUCACUGUAGACAAGACUCCAACCUCUAGGUACCAAACUCUUCAGUUGCAAGUGACAGAAAACACAUAUCAAAUUACCUGAGCACAUAAGGACCAUAGACUCACAUAAUCAAAAAUCAGGAAUGGCUUAUAUGGAAGCAGCUCAAGUGUCCAUCAAUAGAUGAAUAGAUAGAGAAGAUGCAGUAUAUAUACAAUGGAAUAUUA